ACUCAAAUGAAUUGACGGGGGCCCGCACAAGCGGUGGAGCAUGUGGUUUAAUUCGACGCAACGCGAAGAACCUUACCUGGGUUUGAACUGCAGAUGACAACCUCCGAAAAGAGGUCUCCCUUCGGGGUGUCUGCAGAGGUGCUGCAUGGCUGUCGUCAGCUCGUGUCGUGAGAUGUUGGGUUAAGUCCCGCAACGAGCGCAACCCUUAUCCUUAGUUGCCAUCGGGUCAAGCCGGGAACUCUAAGGAGACUGCCCCGGAAAACGGGGAGGAAGGUGGGGAUGACGUCAAGUCCUCAUGGCCUCUAUGUCCAGGGCUACACACGUGCUACAAUGGGCGAUACAGAGGGUCGCAAAGCCGCGAGGUGGAGCUAAUCCCAAAAAGUCGCUCUCAGUUCGGAUUGCAGUCUGCAACUCGACUGCAUGAAGUUGGAAUCGCUAGUAAUCCCGGAUCAGCAGGCCGGGGUGAAUACGUUCCCGGGCCUUGUACACACCGCCCGU
rnacentral:rRNA from 1 species